AUCUCUUACCAGUGAAGUGCAGGUGCAUGUUAGCAUGCCCACCUUUUCAUGUGGGUGCUAGAGAUCUGAGCCAAGUCCCUAUGCUUCCGCAGCAAGCACUUCACUUGUUGAGCCAUAUCCUUGAUCCUCGUUUUAUUUUUAAGUUCAUUUUAAAUAUCAUUACUUGAUAGAUACUUGAUUGUUUCCACUUUUCAGUAUUAUGAAUAAUAUUGUUAUUAAUGACUAUGUGCAAGUUUUUAUUGGGUAUAUUCCUAGGAGUAAAAUUGCUGGUCUGUAUAUUUUAAGUGUUAGUUCUUUUUAUAUGAUGGACACCCCAAUAGGACCCUCUGCAUUCUGUCAGCCACCUUUAUUUAUACUUUGAAGCAUGGGAAUUACAGAUUUUGAUAAAGCAAUUUUUUUUUUUUUUUGUAUUUUCAAAACUCUGUGUAGCCUGGCUGUCCUGGAACUUGCUCUGAAGACCAGACUCGCCUCAAACUCAAAGAGAUCCUCCUGCCUCUGCCUCCCAAGUGCAGGGAUUAAAGGCAUGCACCAUUACUGCCCAGCAAAGCACAGAUUUUCCAUUCUACCUUCUGUGUUAUGUCUUUCCUUCAGUGGUUAGAAUAGUGUUUCAUAAUCCAUGCUUGCAAAGAUGUGCUGGGCCUAUGCUUUUUUUCCCUGAGGAUUAUAUAGAAUUUAACAAUCUUUGAGCUAUUUUAGUUAAUUUUUGUUAAUAACUUGAAACUAGGAGGUAUCAACUUGAUUGUUUUCCAUGUGGUUAUCCAGUUGCAACACUGUUUGUUAGAAAGGUUAGUUUUUUUUUCCUUAUUAAAUUGUCUUGGCAUCGUCUUAUAAAUAAGUUUAUCAAACUGGAGAUGGUGCUACAUGCCUCUUACUCACUGCUUCGGAGGCCAAGGAAUGACUAUCACAAAUUCAAGGCCAGCCUGGGGCACACAGUGAGACCUUGUCUCAAAUUAGAAAAUCUGUUAAUUAAUUUACUACUUUUAUCUGAAUGGCCAACUUCUGUUCCACAGAUGUGUGUAUUUUUCUUCAUGACAAUACGACACUGUUCUUAUUUGGUGAUUUGAAGUAGGAUUUGAAAUCAGGAUAGAGAAAUCAUUUUUUUUUAAUCUUUUGGUCAUAUUAUUUUAGCUGUUCUAGGUGCUUUGAAUAUCAGUAUAAAGUUUAAAAGCCAGUUACUAGUUGUUACCAAAAAGGCAACUACUGUUUGAUAGGGUUUGCACUGAAUAAGCAGGUAAGUUUGGGGAAUUCUGCCACUCACAGCAUUGUCCUGACACUCUGUACAAGUGAAAUGUCUGCUGAGAGCUUUAUUUUUUUCCAAUAAUGUUCUUAGCUUUCGGUGUAUGAAUUUUGCACUCACUACUAUUUUCUACAUAGAAAAAUAGUAGUGCUAAUCUUUUAGUAUCUUCUCUUUUUACUUUCCCUUUUCUGUUCUGAACCAAACGGGACUUAGUCCCAACAAAUUUAUUUUUUGAAAUUCAAAGCAGUAUUUGAAGAUAUUUAAAAUGUUUUGUUUUGUAUUCCCCAAGAUAAGUUAUUAUGUAGGUAGGGAAUAUUUCUAUUAUAUUCUAAAAUUUACUUCUCUUUCAGGAGUAGCUUAUAAGAAUGGCCAUUCAUGGGCUAAGGAAAUGGAUGGGUCCUUUGGGUAAAGUUCCUGUGUGGGCAUGAGGACCUGAGUUCAAAUCACCAGUGAUCAUGUAAAAGAUGCUGUAACCCUAACACUAGGGGAACGCAGAGACAGGUGCAUCCCCAAAGCUUGCCAGCUAGCCAGCCUAGGUGAAAUGGUAAAUUCCAGCUUUGUUGAGAUGGAUUCUGUGUUAGUAAUGGAAGACACCUAAUGUAUACACCUUUCAACACAGAAUGAUCAUUCAUUGUAGUGUGGGCAAAAACAGUGAGCCAUCCAAAGCCUUCCUAUUUAUAUCACUAGGAUACAAGCACUUUGAGGGAAUAACACUAUCUUACUCAUACCACACUCCAGGUGUAGAAUACUGAUGCCACAUAACAGGCACUUAAUAAACAUUUGACUCUUUAAUGGCUGUUACUGCCAGUCCUAGGAUAGAAAGCCUGUUAACGGCAUGGAAUGGUCUUAUCUGCCUGUUUGUUUAGUUGUUGCUCUGGAUUAGAAAGAACAAUGUUUUGGGUUUUUUUGUUUGUUUGUUUUUUCUAUUUGAGAGAGCUGAAAUGAACUGACUUUUAGUCAAACUGAGUUGUGAUUUGUGCAUGUGUGUUAGUUACCUUUUACUUGUUUUAGGAAUUUGUACAGAGAAAGUUAAUAACAGGCCUGAGGCUGCUGUUCUUAGAAAGCCCUGCAUUCCUAGUUGGCCAUUGGCUAGCAUAUGUGAUUUGUGUUUGGGGUGUUUUGGAGUGCUCCCACUGAGUGUGACCCUGCAGGUGUCCAGGAAGAGAAGUGAACCUGCAAAGAGACAAGAAUGGAAGGUUCGGAUUGACUUGAUCAACCUGGGUCAGAUUUCUGAAAGUCUGAUGCCAGGUGGUUCAUUGUCAGAAUAUUUAAAACACAGUACAAUUUGGGAAAAAGUUUCCAAGCAGUAAUCAUUCCCAUUCCAGGUUUCCAGGCAACAAUCAUUUUAAUUCCAGGUGCACAAUAAAGCUUAAGGUGUGAUUACAUAGAAACUUCAUUACAAAGUGCAGGACCAUGGCUCAGGGGGUUAAGAGCACUUGCACUCUUGCAGAGGCCUCAGGCUCAGUUCCUGGCAGUUACAUGAUGGCUCACAUCCACGUGUAACUCCAGUUCCAAGGGAUCCGAGGCUCUCUUCUGGCCUCCAAGGGCACCAGGCAUAUAGGGAAAAAAUGUGCAUAUGCAUAAAAAGUAAAAAUAAAUCUUUUAAGGAAAAUAUUUGUGGUGUUCAGAUGAUGACUCAGUUUGCAAAAUGGUUGCCAUGUCAGUGUGAGAAGUUGAGUUUGGAUCCGAAAUACUCAUAUUAAUAAAGAAAGAGCAGCGUAAAGCUUGCGCUGAAGAGGCACAGACAGGUGGCUCCCUGGAUUCUGGCUAGCUAGCCUCAUCUAUUUGGUGAGCUCUAGGUUCUGAGACUCUUUUCCAAAAAAUAAAGUGGACAACACACACACACACACACACACACACACACACACACACGAGAUAGGGAAAAUAUACUCUCUUUCCUUAUAACUGGAGUGCUACUCUGUCCUUAGGCAUGUGUUCUGGGAAAAGGAUAUCCUUGCUUCAGUUAUUCAGUUAUUUGCCCCAUGCCUGCAAGGUUUCUGUGCUGUUUAUUUUAGAUAGUUCAUUUUGACACUUAGAUAAACAGAAGCCAAGCACAUAAGCAUACCCAGAAUUAGUCCCUGAACUAUGUUCCAGGGCAGAGAUAAGAUGCUUAGACUUCUCCAGUACAGAUAAAUAUAUUACAACUACUAGAGGAUAAGUGUUGUGAGACUUUUGGAUUGUUUAGACAUAGAAUGGCAGUG
rnacentral:lncRNA from 1 species